rnacentral:rRNA from 1 species
UACGUAGGGGGCGAGCGUUGUCCGGAAUCAUUGGGCGUAAAGCGCGUGUAGGCGGCCCGGUAAGUCCGCUGUGAAAGUCCAGGGCUCAACCCUGGGAAUGGCGAUGGAUACUGGCUCGCUAGAGUGCGGUAGAGGAGAGUGGAAUUCCCGGUGUAGCAGUGAAAUGCGCAGAUAUCAGGAGGAACACCGAUGGCGAAGGCAGCUCGCUGGGACGGUACUGACGCUGAGGCGCGAAAGCGUGGGGAGCAAACAGG